GGUUAUGGCUCCAUGGUAGAGCGCUUGCCUAGCAUGUGUGAGGCACUGGGUUCAAACCUCAGCACCA
rnacentral:tRNA from 1 species